AGCGAACGCUGGCGGCAGGCCUAACACAUGCAAGUCGAACGAAGUCUUCGGACUUAGUGGCGGACGGGUGAGUAACACGUGGGAACGUGCCCUUUGGUACGGAAUAACUCAGGGAAACUUGAGCUAAUACCGUAUGUGCCCUUCGGGGGAAAGAUUUAUCGCCAUUGGAGCGGCCCGCGUCUGAUUAGCUAGUUGGUGGUGUAAUGGACCACCAAGGCGACGAUCAGUAGCUGGCCUGAGAGGAUGAUCAGCCACAUUGGGACUGAGACACGGCCCAAACUCCUACGGGAGGCAGCAGUGGGGAAUCUUGCGCAAUGGGCGAAAGCCUGACGCAGCCAUGCCGCGUGAAUGAUGAAGGUCUUAGGAUUGUAAAAUUCUUUCACCGGGGACAAUAAUGACGGUACCCGGAGAAGAAGCCCCGGCUAACUUCGUGCCAGCCGCCGCGGUAA
rnacentral:rRNA from 1 species